UUUUUUCUCUUGGUAUAUAAAGUGGGAAAUUAAUUGACUCGUGAAUGAAGCUGCGCUGCAGGCCAGGUGGUUCUUUCAACCUGUAUUUUGGUUUUCAGCGAAGGCUCCUGACUUUGUGCAGAGCGGGGCCUGGCCGGGGAUCCCAGACAGCGAGGUUGGUGAGGCCCAUGGGUGACUGUGGGUCUCGGCCACACCAGCCACGCCGGCAGCCCUGCGGUUGCGGCUCGGGUGGAGGCAGAGCCUCUCGCUGCUGUUCGUCAGUGCCCGGUAACACAGACGCCACGUUGUGCCUUCAGAACACGAGGCCCCGUCUUACACCUGACGUUUUCCAGGCCCAGACAGCCGCCCGGAAGAUACACUUUGUCACACUGGCCCAGUGGGGUCCAGUUGCCCCUCCUCUGAGUGGCCACGUGUUCAGGGGACCUGGCCGCUUCCCCCGGCAUCUCAGCCAGCCCCGGCGGUCUGUGCCGGUCCCCUGCUGAAGCGCGGACACGUGAUGUCUUCUGGCCAACUGGCACCUGAGGGGAGGGCCAGUUCCCACAGUCCUGGAGACACAAGCAAGGGGUGGCGACCCUUUGGCUGCCUCUGGACGUGACACCCGGACUCCUACGGCCACCUUGCAACCUCGAGGAGAGGUGGUCCGUGACAGAACCCCACAUGGUGAGGAAGGCGGCACUGGGAGCAUCGCAGCCCGAGCCUGGCCCUCCCGGGCCUGCGGCCUCUCCACCAUGGGCCCCUCAGGGACCUAGUGUGUGU